AGUUAUUAGUUCGAAUGGAGUUUGUCUCUAGUCUUGUUAUUUUCCGAUUGAUGUGAAAACCAAUUCUCUUUCUUUCCGAGGUCAAAGUUUGGUCGAUGUAUGAACUGUCAUGGUUCUUUCCAUGCAACGUAUGCUCACUUCAGAUCAUUGCUAUUGAAAAUCUAAAGCAGGUGUCCUUCCUAGAAACAAUCCCUCCCUCGUGUCCUCAUCAUUCAGUCUGGCGCUGCAUCUUUGAUUGUGCAUGCAAUGCCUCUCUUGUGUUGCUCUUUGCUUGACAGCCUCUGUCGAGUACUCUUCAGGGGAGAUACUGUUCCUCAAUCGCGCUCUUGAUCCUUCCCCUUUUCUUUCUGUUUGUCAUAUUUUGUGUGUUUUUUAGUUGAGUGAAAUUGAAUUAGCAGACCAUAUUCCCGCAGGGGAUAAAAUUUGGUUUCGAGGUUUUCACACAUUUGGUGAGCAUGGAGUUCAGUCUUCUUUUUAUCAAGCAUAGCUGUUGGAUCUAUUUAUAUAUAACAUCCCCAUUUGCGACAUGAAACUUUGUCGGAGAUGAUUUGACUGCCAGAUAUCCUAACUUAUGGUUCUAAAUAGAUCUUUUUCUCAACCGCUAUACAAGGGGAUUCGUGUUCAUUUUUCUUCUAAUUAAAAUUAUCAAACUGUCUCGUUUGAUUUAUUAUUGCCUUUGAAGGCACGAAUUUUGCAGCAUCUGGGUGGUCUAUUGUGAGAACAGAAUUGGUUUAGGUCCUGAUUGAAUCUGUAUGAAUGUCUUGAGGUUCAUCAACAUUAUUCAGGUUCAAGUUUCCCGCUGAUUAUUUUAAUUAAUAAAAUUGCUCGCAUGAAAUGUAUGGAGUUAUUCAGCCGUUGUGACAGGUGCUUGGUUCUGUUUGGAGGGAUCUCUUCAGCUAAGUAUGUCACGUGAAGAUGGUAUAGGAUUCAGUGAUUAAAGAAUUCAAGUUUG